rnacentral:lncRNA from 1 species
UGAUUACAAUGGAAGUGCACAUACAUGAAUUUUUUAGUGGUCCCCACUAACUGAAAGCAUAUUGUUGGAGUAAAAGCUCUCCACUACAGUUCCAUCCAUAAGAAAAUAACAAACAUGCAAAUAUUCAAGAACUUAUGGUGUCAUUCCUUGCUACUGAUCAGAAAAAAAUCUCACAAUUAUAGAGUAUUUUCAAGCAUACCAAAUUAUAUGGUUGUGUACAUUGAGACCACAUAAACCAUAUAUGAUGGAUUUUUUGCCAUAGUGUUAAGAAAUAGCAUCACAGUUAGAAACUAUUUUGAAGCAUACCAAAUUAUAUAAGUUUGCCGGCAUCUAUUAGGUGUAUGUUGUCCUUUCAGCGAUUUAGGCAUACUGUAGACACACAUAGUUCGUAGGAAAAGGAACAUGCUAUUGCUCAUCACUGUAAGUAUUGUACGCAAGAUAAAUUUGCAUCAUGUAGGUAGUGAAUACUCUAAUCAUGAUCAAGUUCCCUAGGCACUUCUUGUACAAGCACCAUCUGCUAUGAAAUCUUUAGAGUUUUUUAUGACACAAUUUAAGCACCAUGUGAGCGAAUGAGGAAUGCUAGCGCUAGCAGCUACUGCGAGCCGCAGUGGACAGCGGUAGCAGCGGUGGUCAGCCGGACAACACAAUGUCGGCGGCAGGCGGAUAGUGGCAAGCAGCCCUACCGGUAGCUGCUGCUGUUAGAAGAAUUGACGACUAGAGCAUGUUGUCUUAAUUUGUUCUCUGUUCCUAUAGGAGGAUUCAAUUCCAUUAACUGUUCAAACAGAAAUGAUUCCAUUAGGGAGCUGUCUACUUUGUGAUCUACUGUCAUUCUUCUCUGUCCAGACUAACAAUUGGAUGUAGUUCUUUACGUAUUUAUUAGUGCAAUUUUCUUGUCAUUGUUUUAAAGAUCGCAUAUGUAUAUGUGUGACUAGAGGUUAUGACUUAUAAGUGUUUCCGUUGAUUCGGGAAAUGCAAGUAAGGUGUACGUGUUAGUUUCCAGUGUUCAUUGUAAUUUCCUUGUCUUGGACGUAAUUUAUCUCAAUUUAGAUAUGAGAUAUUGGACUUUGAUUCUGCUUUGAAUUUAUUAACGCUCUAGAGUCCACCCUACCUAAAAAAAUCGCCCUCAGCCACUGAUGUACAUCACAACUCUACCUUGGAAGUAUAUAUAAGUAUGGUGUACAGUGCACACAAACGAGGACUACGGCCUAUGGAAUAUGUGUUCCUGGACCUGCUGCCAUGUCAAGUCAUGAGAGAUUUGAUCAAAACAUGUUUCAGGUAUAUUCACCAUGAAUUUUUUAUUAUUAAUUUGAUGAGAUCGAUUACUUCUGCUACCAUUUGAUUCUGUAGGAAGGAUACAUACAACGAUUUUGCUGAGGCAAUGGAUCUGGAAGAGAUGGGGGUACUUGUUCAUGUGUCAUGCUCGUUUAAGAGCCUCAUUGCUUAUUCCCAUAAAAUCUUGUUCAGGAGCCCAGCAGCAGAUAGAAAAGAUGACAUGGACCACGAUAAAGAUUUAAGAAUCUUUCAGUUCAAAUGUCUCUCCUGCAACCAUUGUUUCUAGAGUAGAUAGCUCUGAUGACUUAAGGGUGUCACGGGCUAAUGGUGCUGAGCCCCCAAAAUGUAUUGUAGUCAAUGGAUAUUUCUGAUAAAAAUAUUAGUUAUCGAGUGAUGAUAGUGUUUGUCUAUCGCAAACAUUUAAACAGUUUAAAUUGUGAUUUGUAUUGUUUGAGAGAUUGCUAAGAAGCUCAUUAUAUAAUCUCUCUAUAUGGUAAUUGCAAGGAUUGUCAAAUUU